UACGUAGGGGGCGAGCGUUGUCCGGAUUCAUUGGGCGUAAAGAGCUCGUAGGCGGCUUGGCAAGUCGGGUGUGAAAUCUCUGGGCUUAACUCAGAGAGGCCACUCGAUACUGCUAUGGCUAGAGUCCGGUAGGGGACCAUGGAAUUCCUGGUGUAGCGGUGAAAUGCGCAGAUAUCAGGAGGAACACCGGUGGCGAAGGCGGGUCUCUGGGCCGAUACUGACGCUGAGGAGCGAAAGCGUGGGGAGCGAACAGG
rnacentral:rRNA from 1 species